UGAUGAUGGUGAGGGAAAUUUUUUAGCAUUCCCUUAAAUCUCUCCCAAACUUGGUAGAGAUUCUCUCCUUCUUUCAGUCUGAAAAUCAAGAUUUCUCUUCUCAAACA
rfam:Capsicum annuum cultivar Zunla-1 chromosome 1, whole genome shotgun sequence